rnacentral:rRNA from 1 species
UACGGGGGGAGCAAGCGUUGUUCGGAUUUACUGGGCGUAAAGGGCGCGUAGGCGGCCUCUGCAAGUCGACUGUGAAAUCUCCGGGCUUAACCCGGAAAGGUCAACCGAUACUGCGGGGCUAGAGUGCAGAAGGGGCAACUGGAAUUCUCGGUGUAGCGGUGAAAUGCGUAGAUAUCGAGAGGAACACCUGCGGCGAAGGCGGGUUGCUGGGCUGACACUGACGCUGAAGUGCGAAAGCUAGGGGAGCGAACGGG